rnacentral:tRNA from 1 species
AGAAACUUAGGAUAGACCAAAACCGAAGGCCUUCAAAGCCUUAAACAAGAGUUAAACCCUCUUAGUUUCUG